GGAAUAGAUCAAAUAGAAUCAACAUGACACGUUGGCACCUUUCUUGUAUUCAGUAGCUUCGUAACUAUGCAGGAUACGAAGUAUAUUUUUCACGACUUCGCUAUACAUUCAAGAUUGUGCAUCUCGGAUGGAACCAGUUUGACGGCAAGAGUAAGAACAACAACAGUGGUGAUCGAGACGAGUAAAGGCAAAAAUAAUAGGAAAGCUCGUUUGCAUUCAGCACCCAUUUCACGUGUAACCCAUCCAGGGCCGUAAUUGGCCCAUAGGUACUUAACGAACGAGUCUUCUUCUUCGUAAUAGUGAAAUAAGAGCCCUUAAUAUGGAUCCAGUGAUUAAAGGGCGAUUCAUAAAUUGUUUCUCGAAGUAAACUCGAAGUCUACUCAAAAGAGAACGAUAUUAACGAUAUGGCCAAUAUCUCACCUGCUUCUGCAAAUGCCAAGAUCAGGGCUAUCAAAAUAUGCAGAAUUUGCCGUUUCGUCCACAUUAUUCCAAUAAGAUCGAACCUAAAACAAAAAAAAAUAAGAAACUGAUUAUUUUUUUUCGAAUGGAAGAUCAUGCGAAAAACGUUAUUGUGCAGUCGAAGUACUGUUAAACUGAAAGGUUCGGACGUGACAUGCGAGUCAUUCGUCUGGUCAACUCUUUUUCUAGAACACAAGUUACUCCUACGUUCCGAUUGGCACAACUCCAAGAGAAAGAAGCUUCUCUCUUUCGCUAAAAGACAUUACCAGUCGAGGGAUUCUAACUGUUGAUUCGCAUGACCUUGCAAGUUGCCGGAAUAAUUCUCUCGCAUAUCAUCUACCGUGCUGAUCGGCUGAAUCACGAUUCAGUUUCGAAGUGAUAAUCUCAGUAAAUGAUUUCAUGUCUCGUAUUUUGAAGUGUACACGAUGGUCCGCGUGCGCGAUCGUCAAAUAACCAUUUGAAUAAAUCAUUGGCAUUAUCUACGUGUACAGUUAUACAUAUACCUAUUGGGCGUUCUCGUGAUGAUUUCCGGACGCUCCCACUUAAUACAAAUUAUAAAUUUAAGGUAGAGGAACGUCACAGAGAAAUAUUCAGUUUGAAUACUGUAAAGACUUGUUCGAUGAUCUUUUAAAGAUCAAGUUUCGUCUUACCUAUCAGCCUCGAGACAAAUCUCAACGAGAUUUGAUCACGCUCUUAAUGAUCUCUCGAUCUUGUUAAUGAGCGUUUCUCCGAAAUUCCUGCUGCGAUCGGCAGGAGUACCUUUAGCAAGCACAAACUUUAUUCCGAUGCAAGUAUCAACACCGAUAUCCUGCGCGUGGACUCCGAGUCCGCAAUUCCUGUUGGUUAUCGAGAUGGAAGUCACAGGAAUGGUUCACCACCACCCUUGUAUUUCCUUCUUGAUCCACGAUCUGCAUUGGUACAACGAGAGAAAGAAGAGGCAUGCCACAUUGGCGGGUAACGUCAUUGGCGGCGAUCUAAAUGUUCCUUUUGGACCACCAACUUCGUCUUUAACAUUCUUUGAUCAUAUAUAAGAAUAAAUAAUUUGAUGAUGUAUAAUACGUUCGUGCGAUUGAGGCUAAUUUUAAGAGAAAAGAUAUAAGUGCAAAUAAGACAUUAUAUCUCUGUUUAUUCCACCGAUUAAAUUUUUCAAUUAUUUAAAUAGAGAUUUUUUUUUAUUUUAACGGAGUCAUUUUAUGAGAGAUGAUAAUCGAAUAUUAUUUUUCAUAUAAAUGAGAUUUUUUAUUUGAACAGAUCCAAGAUUGAAGUUAUAAAAUUUCGUGUGUCUUGGACAUACUAUAAUAUAGCGAUAAUAUAGAAUCAGAGAGAAUAGUAAAUCAGAGAAUCCCUGUGGUUUUUCUUUCUUUCAUUUGAUCCAAGUGAAAUUAACUAUGACAUAUCAGUUAGCAGUUCUGAAUCCGUAGGAUGCAAUUUGUUCUCCGUCUCCCUAGGCCGCCGCCAAUGGGACUAGUUGCCGCAGGAGAUGCAACCAAGUGCACUCGAUCUACUGCCAUAAAUACGGUCCACUAUAGCAAAGAAGGGACGAGAGAAGUUCUGGCAGCAUCUCUCUUAACGAAUUGUAACCAUCAUGAUCUACUAUAUUGCCUGUGUAAUACGAAUUGAUGUGAUCCUUUAAAUGAAAAUAAUAUAUUCAUUUUCUAACGAACGAGUAUCAAGUUUAUGUUUUAUUUUCAAAUUAGAUAUUAAAAUAGAAAUGUAAAAAUGUUGCAGAUAGAAGAAAAUUAUUAAAGAUGUAACCGAGAAGGCUUAUUGCCGUAUAUUAUAUAUAUAUAUAUUUUUUUUUUAAGUUUAAAAGCUUCAUUUAUCUUAAUUAAGAUCUCUUCGUCAGAUACAAAAAAAAAUUUUUCUUUUCUAGAAGUCUGAUAUAACAUAAUUGUAGAGUAUAGAAUCGGUUUUAAUUUCACACUAAUGUUUGCAUUUUUGUUUACUUUCGCGAGCGUUUCUUGGGAAAAAUCUUUCAUAAAAUUGUCUUUGUUAUUUGGCAUAGAACUUAUUUUCAAUGUAACCGUGAUAUUGGAAAAGUAGUUAUAUCGUAAACCGGUUUUAGAUUCUAUGCUCUUUUUAGCUAUACUUUCUUAUGUAAUAGGAGAACGCUACUGUAUAAAUGGAAUAUUUAGAAAUUAUU